CCUACGGGUGGCAGCAGUGGGGAAUAUUGCGCAAUGGUCGAAAGACUGACGCAGCGACGCCGCGUGAGGGAUGAAGGUCUUCGGAUCGGAAACCUCUGUCAGCAGGGAAGAACGGUCACUGUGCUAAUCAGCAGUGAAUUGACGGUACCUGCAAAGGAAGCACCGGCUAACUCCGUGCAAGCAGCCGCGGUAAUACGGAGGGGGCGGACGUUAAUCGGAAUUGUUGGGCGUAAAGCGCGCGUAGGCGGUAUGUCAAGUCAAGGGUGAAAUCCCCGCGCUCAACGUGGGAACUGCCUUUGAAACUGGCAAACUCGAGUGUGUGAGAGGAUAGUGGAAUUCCUGGUGUAGGAGUGAAAGCCGUAGAUAUCUGGCGGAACAUCAGUGGCGAAGGCGACUAUCUGGCACAUAACUGACGCAGAGGAGCGAAAGCGUGGGUAGCAAACAGGAUUAGAUACCCGAGUAGUG
rnacentral:rRNA from 1 species